rfam:Desulfotomaculum kuznetsovii DSM 6115, complete genome.
UCCGGUGGCCAUGCCGAAGGGGAAACACCCGUUCCCAUCCCGAACACGGAAGUUAAGCCCUCCAGGGCCGAUGGUACUUGGGGGUCUACCCCUGGGAGAGUAGGUCGCUGCCGGAA